rnacentral:lncRNA from 1 species
CUCUCGCCGGACAUUCCUAAUGGUUAGCGCCCAGCCUGUGAAGAGUCGGGGGUCGGGGAGGGGGUCUCGCUAAGAAGGAGGUUUGCAGACCAUGGCAAAGGUUGGAGAAAGUUAUAUGUACAAACCUGUCUUUGCUAAGCUCUUCCAGGGCGGAUCGAUGCUCACCUCUGUAUAGCUUCUAAGUACCUAAUACGCGUUGAUGGAAUGAAUGAUGGAAUGAUUGAAGGCUGAGGGAGUAUUACAAAAUUAGUAGGUCAGCGCCUCGUGUCUAAAGGGCUCACAUGCAGCAUGAAUGCAGGAAGCUUCUGGACAUUCCUUUUUUAGUUAUCUCCCAUCCCCUUUGCUUGAUAACGUAUGCGUAGUAUCAAAAAUAAUUAAGGGCCGGGCGCGGUGGCUCACACCUGUAAUCCCAGCACCUUGGGAGGCCGAGGUGGGUGGAUCACUUGAGGCUAGGAGUUUUGAGACUAGCCUGGGCAACAUGGCGAAACCCCGUCUCUACUAAAAACACAAAAAUUAGCAGGGGGUGGUGACGGGCGCCUGAAGUCCCAGCUACUCGGGAGGCUGAGGUGGGAGAAUCACCUGAGCCCGGGGUUGACGGUGAGACUGCAGUGAGCCGAGAUCGCGCCACUACACUCCAGCCUGGGCAACCGGAGUGAGACCCUGCCUCAAAAAUAAUAAUAACAAUAAUAAUAAUAAUAAUAAUGAAACUACAUGAAACACAUACUCGUUUUACUCUCAACUGCUCUCAAACGAAAACUUGGAGCAAAUGAUUGCUAAUGUUAAAUUUCAUGGAAUUCUUUGGGGGAGCAAAUGGAGUAGUGGCUUCAAAAGAAGAAAAACUGAAGCCAGCCUAGCAGGGAUCACGGAAUAGUAGACAGAUUUAAAACACAUGCCAAGAAGCAAGGUGAAAGAGAUGAGGUAGAUUAAUACAUUUAUAAAUGUCCCAGGGAAGAGGAGAGGAG